UACGUAGGGCGCAAGCGUUGUCCGGAAUUAUUGGGCGUAAAGAGCUCGUAGGCGGCUUGUCGCGUCGGCUGUGAAAACCCGGAGCUCAACUCCGGGCCUGCAGUCGAUACGGGCAAACUGGAGUGUUGCAGGGGAGACUGGAAUUCCUGGUGUAGCGGUGAAAUGCGCAGAUAUCAGGAGGAACACCGGUGGCGAAGGCGGGUCUCUGGGCAACAACUGACGCUGAGGAGCGAAAGCGUGGGGAGCGAACAGG
rnacentral:rRNA from 1 species